ensembl:snoRNA Gm22159 predicted gene, 22159
UCUGCCUCUACAGGCAUUGUAGGGGCAGCAGUUGGGUCAUAUGUGCGUCAGUAGAUAACAGAGAGAAAAGGUGCUAUGUCAUGCUCACUACUCUACCUGUGGAAAUCUAAAUGAUUAGUAACCUCGCAUU